rnacentral:rRNA from 1 species
CAACGAACGUUGACGGCGCGCUUACACAUGCAAGUCGAGCGAGAACCAGUCCUUCGGGACUGGGGACAGCGGCGAACGGGUGAGUAUCACGUGGGUAAUCUGCCCUCGGCACUGGGAUAGCCCGGGGAAACCCGGAUUAAUACCGGAUAGCCUCUCGAGCCUUCGGGCUCGUCAGAAAAGGUGGCUUCGGCUUCCGGCUGAGGAUGAGCCCGCGGCGGAUUAGCUUGUUGGUGGGGUAAUGGCCCACCAAGGCGACGAUCCGUAGCUGGUCUGAGAGGACGAUCAGCCACACUGGGACUGAGACACGGGUCAGACUCCUACGGGAGGCAGCAGUCGGGAAUUUUGGGCAAUGGGCGAAAGCCUGACCCAGCAACGCCGCGUGAAGGAUGAAAUCCCUCGGGAUGUAAACUUCGCAAGAACGGGAAGAAUAAGUCGGUGCUAACACCACCGGCGAUGACGGUACCGUUUGUAAGCUCCGGCUAACUCCGUGCCAGCAGCCGCGGUAAUACGGGGGGAGCAAGCGUUGUUCGGAUUUACUGGGCGUAAAGGGCGCGUAGGCGGCCACCGCAAGUCAAUUGUGAAAUCUCCGGGCUUAACUCGGAAAGGUCAACUGAUACUGCGGGGCUAGAGUGCAGAAGGGGCAACUGGAAUUCUCGGUGUAGCGGUGAAAUGCGUAGAUAUCGAGAGGAACACCUGCGGCGAAGGCGGGUUGCUGGGCUGACACUGACGCUGAGGCGCGAAGGCUAGGGGAGCGAACGGGAUUAGAUACCCCGGUAGUCCUAGCCUUAAACGAUGAAUGCUUGGUGUCUGGGGUUUUAAAGUCCCCGGGUGCCGUCGCUAACGCUUUAAGCAUUCCGCCUGGGGAGUACGGUCGCAAGACUGAAACUCAAAGGAAUUGACGGGGACCCGCACAAGCGGUGGAGCAUGUGGUUUAAUUCGACGCAACGCGAAGAACCUUACCUGGGCUAGAAUGCCCGUGACAGCCCCAGAGAUGGGGUCUCCUUGGUAAAACUUGGCACGGUGCAAGGUGCUGCAUGGCUGUCGUCAGCUCGUGUCGUGAGAUGUUGGGUUAAGUCCCGCAACGAGCGCAACCCUUAUCAAUAGUUGCCAGCGGUUUGGCCGGGCACUCUAUUGAGACUGCCGUUGACAAAACGGAGGAAGGUGGGGAUGACGUCAAGUCCUCAUGGCCUUUAUGUCCAGGGCUACACACGUGCUACAAUGGCAAGUACAAAGCGCUGCAAACCUGCAAAGGGGAGCCAAUCGCAAAAAGCUUGUCUCAGUUCGGAUUGGAGUCUGCAACUCGACUCCAUGAAGUUGGAUCGCUAGUAAUCGCAGAUCAGCAUGCUGCGGUGAUACACACCCGGUCGGACUCACCGC